CGGGAGGCAGCAGUAGGGAAUCUUCCACAAUGGACGAAAGUCUGAUGGAGCAACGCCGCGUGAGUGAUGAAGGUUUUCGGAUCGUAAAACUCUGUUGUUAAAGAAGAACAAGUGUUAGAGUAACUGUUAACACUUUGACGGUAUUUAACCAGAAAGCCACGGCUAACUACGUGCCAGCAGCCGCGGUAAUACGUAGGUGGCAAGCGUUGUCCGGAUUUAUUGGGCGUAAAGCGAGCGCAGGCGGUUUUGUAAGUCUGCUGUGAAAGCCCUCAGCUCAACUGAGGAAGUGCAGUGGAAACUACAAAACUUGAGUACAGAAGAGGAAAGUGGAACUCCAUGUGUAGCGGUGAAAUGCGUAGAUAUAUGGAAGAACACCAGUGGCGAAGGCGGCUUUCUGGUCUGUUACUGACGCUGAGGCUCGAAAGCAUGGGUAGCGAACAGGAUUAGAUACCCUGGUAGUCCAUGCCGUAAACGAUGAAUACUAGGUGUUGGAGGGUUUCCGCCCUUCAGUGCCGCAGCUAACGCAUUAAGUAUUCCGCCUGGGGAGUACGACCGCAAGGUUGAAACUCAAAGGAAUUGACGGGGGCCCGCACAAGUGGUGGAGCAUGUGGUUUAAUUCGAUGCUACGCGAAGAACCUUACCAGCUCUUGACAUCUUCUGCCAACCCAAGAGAUUGGGCGUUCCCUUCGGGGACAGAAUGACAGGUGGUGCAUGGUUGUCGUCAGCUCGUGUCGUGAGAUGUUGGGUUAAGUCCCGCAACGAGCGCAACCCUUAUUAUUAGUUGCCAGCAUUUAGUUGGGCACUCUAGUGAGACUGCCGGUGAUAAACCGGAGGAAGGUGGGGACGACGUCAAAUCAUCAUGCCCCUUAUGAGCUGGGCUACACACGUGCUACAAUGGAUGGUACAACGAGUCGCGAAACCGCGAGGUCAAGCUAAUCUCUUAAAGCCAUUCUCAGUUCGGAUUGCAGGCUGCAACUCGCCUGCAUGAAGUUGGAAUCACUAGUAAUCGUGGAUCAGCAUGCCANCGGUGAAUACGUUCCCGGGCCUUGUACACACU
rnacentral:rRNA from 2 species